AUUGAACGCUGGCGGCAGGCCUAACACAUGCAAGUCGAGCGAGCGGCGGACGGGUGAGUAAUGUAUGGGGACUGCCCGAUAGAGGGGGAUAACUACUGGAAACGGUAGCUAAUACCGCAUACUAUCGGAUAACCCAUAUGGGAUUAGCUAGUGGGUGAGGUAAUGGCUCACCUAGGCGACGAUCCCUAGCUGGUCUGAGAGGAUGAUCAGCCACACUGGGACUGGGAAACGGCCCAGACGCCUACGGGGGCAGCAGUGGGGAAUAUUGCCAAAUGGGCGAAAGCCUGAUGCAGCCAUGCCGGGUGUAUGAAGAAGGCCCUAGGGUUGUAAAGUACUUUCAGUCGGGAGGCGUGACCGACAGAAGAAGCACCGGCUAACUCCGUGCCAGCAGCCGCGUAAUUC
rnacentral:rRNA from 1 species